rnacentral:miRNA from 1 species
ACGGUCUGUAGCUACCUUCACC